rnacentral:rRNA from 1 species
AGUGAACGCUGGCGGUAGGCCUAACACAUGCAAGUCGAACGGAAGCACAGUAAGAUCUUGCUCUUACGGGUGGCGAGUGGCGGACGGGUGAGGAAUACAUCGGAAUCUACUUUUUCGGGGGGGAUAACGUAGGGACACUUACGAUAAUACCGCAUACGACCUACGGGUGAAAUCAGGGGAUCUUCGCACCUUGCGCGAUUGUAUGAGCCGAUGUCGCAUUAGCUAGUUGGCUGGGUAAAGGCACACCAAGGCGACGAUCCGUAGCUGGUCUGAGAGGAUGAUCAGCCACACUGGAACUGAGACACGGUCCAGACUCCUACGGGAGGCAGCAGUGGGGAAUAUUGGACAAUGGGCGCAAGCCUGACCCAGCCAUACCGCGUGGGUGAAGAAGGCCUUCGGGUUGUAAAGCCCUUUUGUUGGGAAAGAAAAGAAGUAUGUUAAUCUCCGGCUGUUCUGACGGUACCUAAAGAAUAAGCACCGGCUAACUUCGUG